rnacentral:lncRNA from 1 species
ACAGAGACAUGGCUCGGGAGCCCAAGCCUGGUCCUGCCCGGCCGGGCCAGAAGAGGCCCUGGGGCACGGCCAUCUCCUGCUACUACGAUCUGGAUUACGAGCUGUACAGGGAAGAAUUCCCCUACAGGGUGUGUGACUACCAAAGGAUCCCUCCACUAAUCAACCGUGCACCUACCAAGAUCCGGGGGACCCACGUGGGCCCGGGGGUCAAGCACAGCUUUAGUCCCCACAAGGCUCCCAGGACUAGUCAACUGCCUGCAGGGCAGAUAAAGCUCCAGACUGAGGAGCUGCACUCCAUCAGAGGAGAGCUGAGCCAGAUCAAAGCCCAGGUGGAUCACCUGCUGGAGACUGUGGACCGCAUGGACCAGCAGAUGGACCAGCUUCCAGGGACGGAGGACUGCGAACAGAACCGGAGCUCCAGGAGUAAGGGUCCCUCAUACAGAACCGUAGAACCUCAUCAGGAGCCUACAGGCCAGAGGACCCAUCCAGAGGCAGACAGCUCCCCGAUCACAGACCCAGAAGACCCCAAGGAGGCAGUGAGUGGCCUGGUGCCGCCCCCACCCCCAUCCUCAGCCUUAUGUUUGGGUCCUUAUGGCCUCCCUGUGAGCAAGGAGGAUCUUGGGUUUGUGCAAGAGACACAUGACUUCCAUCACAGGCAGUGCCCAGAAGAUGGGGCCCUGCCCUCUUAA